UUGAAUAUUUGAAUUGAAAUCGAAGUAUCUGUACUUUUAAAUUACCUCAAUCUCUCCAUUUAAAUGAGAAAUGAUUUAAAUGAUUGAAAUAUUUCAGCAGUGGUUAUAACAUUGGGUUGUGAAUAUCUCAAUAUAAAUCUGAACACGUAACACGAUUUCGUAUAACUGAAGAUAAAUGUCGAUUUGAAUUUGAGAAUUCUUAAAGGGAUAUUUUUAUGAAAGAAGUUUUACCCUUUACCAUGCAACGUACGAGUGGUAAAUUUUCAGUGGAAAUUCCAGAUGUAAACUUCGCAAAUAGAAACGAUACGUUUUCAGUUCUUAGAAGAUGUUUAUACUUCGUAAAAAUUAUUGAAGAGCAUUUGAAACGCAGGUGAUCGAUUCUCCAAGUUCAAGAUUAUCUAUUUGAUGGCGCCAGAUACCUAUUCGACCGACACCUCGCAUCCAGCCGAUCAACGUUGAAAAAUCAAGUCCACGUUGAACGAUUAGCUUCAAAUUGAUCGAUAACAGACUAUACGUUUAAUCGAUAAGCCAACAAAAAUUUCGCCACCGCUAAGCAUCGAAGCCUCGAAGAAGCGCAAAAAUUGGCAAUUUCAGAGGCCAAAUAUUAGCAAAAUGGUAAAAGACGAUCGGAAACUGUAGAAAAUGGUAAAAAGCGAGAAAAUUGGGAGGAGAAGACAACGCGAACGAUCAGGUGGCUUCUAACUUUGUUUCGGAAUUCGAGUGAAAAAUUUCACGUAGUUGUCCGGUAUUCAAAAUUGGAAGAGAUUAGAAAAUAAUAUAAAUCAGCUGACUGUCCGCUAUAAAUAUCGGUGGCGUAUGAAAUCGAGGAGAGACACGGAGCAGGCGAGUCUGGUGAAAUUCGGAACAGAUCCGUCCGUCUUGACAAGUGGAAAUCCAGCUGCUUUCCAUUUCUAACGAUCACCGAUCGGAGACCAAUGGUUACGAGGCUCUGUCAACCACGAAAACCGAUUUCUAUUUUCUUCUCCGGCCACUUCCACCCGUCGAUCGAAACUUACGACACUUUCGACCAUCGACGAUUUCUAACAAGACGGGGAAGAAGAAGAGAAGAACCGUGGAACGUUCGUUCCAGUUGCAGCGUAGAAGAUCGAUAAGGUUUCUUCUUCUUUUAAUCGUCGCGCUUCGAUGAAUGACAAUAUUUUUUCGAUCACGUUCGCCUUGUUGAUUCAGCAGAGUUCAGAGAAACGUACGCCAUGGUUAGAAACGAUGACAACGCUCCUACGUCGAUUAUGUCGAACAGGACUUCUGCAAAGUUUCUUCGACCAAAGAUUCCAUUAUUCUCGACGAUUCUCCGAAACGAUUGGUCUCUUCGAUGGAAAUCGAUCGUUUCGUAAUUUUCGUUUAUUCGAAUUCCAGCAGUUUGUCGAUCUGUUCGGAUCGCUGUAAUUUUAGACCGAACUCGCGAGGGAAAAAUCUAUGUAAACGCGUUUGAUAAUAAAAAUUGAUUGAUAAUAAAUUUACAAUUUUCAAAAAUUGUAUAACAUGCUACGAAGAGAACGAAGUCAAGCGCGAAAUUAGACUGAAGCAAUCGAACGUAAGGUUCGAAGUUACGCGUUGUUUGUAGAGAGAUCAGCGCGAAGACAUUUUUCACGAGAUCGUUCGUGAGAUUUCCUACAAUUUUCGAUCGAGAAUGAUGUUUGGUUAUCGACAUUUGUUUCUCUUAAGUUAUCGGAGAUUUCGAUCGUUCGACGCGGAAACGAUCGAGAGAACGAAAAUUGAAAAUGAUCGAAGAAAAAUGUUGACGGGUGACGAAAC